rnacentral:rRNA from 1 species
GAUGUACGCUGGCGGCGUGCCUAAUACAUGCAAGUCGAGCGAAUGGAUUAAGAGCUUGCUCUUAUGAAGUUAGCGGCGGACGGGUGAGUAACACGUGGGUAACCUGCCCAUAAGACUGGGAUAACUCCGGGAAACCGGGGCUAAUACCGGAUAACAUUUUGAACCGCAUGGUUCGAAAUUGAAAGGCGGCUUCGGCUGUCACUUAUGGAUGGACCCGCGUCGCAUGAGCUAGUUGGUGAGGUAACGGCUCAACAAGGCAACGAUGCGUAGCCGGCCUGAGAGGGUAAACGGCCACGCUGGGACUGGGACGCGGCCCAGACUCCUACGGGAGGCAGAAGUAGGGAAUCUUCCGCAAUGGACGAAAGUCUGACGGAGCAACGCCGCGUGAGUGAUGAAGGCUUUCGGGUCGUAAAACUCUGUUGUUAGGGAAGAACAAGUGCUAGUUGAAUAAGCUGGCACCUUGACGGUACCUAACCAGAAAGCCACGGCUAACUACGUGCCAGCAGCCGCGGUAA